GCAGCCUGCGGUGCGGGUCAUGGCGCGGCUACCGAAGCUGGCAGUCUUUGAUUUGGAUUACACUCUCUGGCCUUUCUGGGUCGACACGCACGUAGACCCUCCGUUCCAUAAGAGCAGGUGAGGUAGGGACAGGGAAGACUGGGGGCGAGAUAGGACCCAGCCAGGGCUGAGCGCACUCUUGCCCUCUCCAGUGAUGGAACUGUACGAGAUAGGCGGGGCCAAGACGUCCGACUGUACCCAGAGGUGCCUGAGGUCCUAAAACGAUUGCAGAGCCUUGGGGUGCCCGGUGCGGCUGCUUCAAGGACAAGUGAGAUAGAAGGGGCCAACCAGCUACUGGAGCUCUUUGACCUCUUCAGGUACUUUGUUCAUCGGGAAAUCUAUCCAGGCAGCAAGAUCACACACUUUGAGAGGUUGCAGCAGAAGACUGGAAUUCCUUUCUCCCAGAUGAUCUUCUUUGAUGAUGAGAGGCGGAAUAUUGUAGACGUCAGCAAACUGGGUGUUACCUGCAUUCACAUCCAGAAUGGAAUGAAUCUUCAAACUCUAAGUCAAGGGUUAGAGACAUUUGCGAAGGCCCAAACUGGGCCUUUGAGGUCCAGCCUUGAGGAGAGCCCAUUUGAGGCCUAAACUGAAAGGAAAUCAAGAAGGCAUUUUCAGGUGCAUUUGUAAUUUAUUAAAGUUCAUCUGUGUGUGACAGAAGAGAUUUUACCCACAGUGUGGGGAGUUUCUAUUUUUCUAGCCUGUGAAAUGGGGUUGGUUGUCCUGAGGUGCAGAGACCAGAAUGUGAGACAUUAGACUGCAUCAGGUUUGCCAUCUAAACUUAGGGCAACCCCAAGUGCUUGAACCUAUACCACCCCACUUUCCUGAGCUCUGUAAAGAGCAUGAAGUUUUCCCACUGACCCCAUACACUGAGGUGCCAUCACACUGCACAUUUCCUUCCGGAGAACAAGCACGUACUCAGGUGGAGAUAGAACUGUCUUUUUACUUAAUAGAAAAUGAUGUGGCAGCUUUAAGAGGAGCGCGUCGGUCUGGGGCUGGUGGCUUGGGUCACGUGACACCGGUGGUCUCGUUUGCGCCUCUUGAUGUCGCGGCGGCGCCCUGAGGACGGAUUGGGCAAGGCUGGUCCCUGUGUGAUGAGACAUCACCCUCCCAGGAGCAAGGCGGAAGUCUGGAGGACGCUGAGGGGCGGAGGCGGGAGAGGCGAGCUCGCGAUGAGUGGUCUCGGCAGGCUCUUCGGGAAGGGGAAGAAGGAGAAAGGGCCAACCCCUGAAGAAGCAAUACAGAAACUGAAGGAGACAGAGAAGAUACUGAUCAAGAAACAGGAAUUUUUGGAGCAGAAGAUUCAACAGGAGCUACAAACAGCCAAGAAGUAUGGGACCAAGAAUAAGAGAGCUGCCCUACAGGCUUUGCGGAGGAAGAAAAGAUUCGAACAGCAGCUGGCACAAACUGACGGGACAUUAUCCACCCUGGAGUUUCAGCGUGAGGCCAUUGAGAAUGCCACUACCAAUGCAGAAGUCCUUCGUACCAUGGAGCUUGCUGCCCAAAGCAUGAAGAAGGCCUACCAGGACAUGGACAUUGACAAGGUAGAUGAACUGAUGACUGACAUCACGGAACAACAGGAGGUGGCCCAGCAGAUCUCAGAUGCCAUUUCUCGGCCUAUGGGCUUUGGAGAUGAUGUGGAUGAGGAUGAACUGCUGGAGGAGCUAGAGGAGCUGGAGCAGGAGGAAUUGGCCCAGGAGUUGUUAAAUGUGGGCGACAAGGAAGAAGAACCCUCAGUCAAAUUGCCUAGUGUACCUUCUACUCAUCUGCCGGCAGGGCCAGCUCCCAAAGUGGAUGAAGAUGAAGAAGCACUAAAGCAGUUGGCUGAGUGGGUAUCCUGAUAAAUCUGGGCUUGUCUUCCUAAUGCUACCUUUGUUGGUCCUUUCUUCCUUAAGUGCCAAGUGCUGAGCUAAAGGAGGAUAACUUUUUGGGGAAGUCAUGCUGAGGGUGGUAGUGUGACCCUGCCUGAAAAAAGGGUCUCUUACCCUCCCAGCCCUGGCUCAACUCUGAAGAAGGAUCUUGCUACAGAAGGAGCCCUUGGGCUCCCUUCUCUUUGAUAGCAGUUAUAAUGC
ensembl:lncRNA novel transcript